rnacentral:rRNA from 1 species
ACGAACCGUGCGAACGUUAUUCGGAAUCACAGGGCUUAAAGCGCGUGUAGGCGGGACGGCACGUCGGUCGCUGAAAUCCCCCGGCUUAACCGGGGAACUGGCGUCGAUACGACCGUCCUGGAGGGGCGUAGGGGGACCUGGAACUUCCGGUGGAGCGGUGAAAUGCGUUGAGAUCGGAAGGAACGCCCGUGGCGAAAGCGAGGUCCUGGACGCCUACUGACGCUGAGACGCGAAAGCCAGGGGAGCGAACGGGA